rnacentral:rRNA from 1 species
GACGAACGCUGGCGGCGUGCCUAAUACAUGCAAGUUGAGCGCUGAAGGUUGGUACUUGUACCAACUGGAUGAGCAGCGAACGGGUGAGUAACGCGUGGGGAAUCUGCCUUUGAGCGGGGGACAACAUUUGGAAACGAAUGCUAAUACCGCAUAAAAACUUUAAACACAAGUUUUAAGUUUGAAAGAUGCAAUUGCAUCACUCAAAGAUGAUCCCGCGUUGUAUUAGCUAGUUGGUGAGGUAAAGGCUCACCAAGGCGAUGAUACAUAGCCGACCUGAGAGGGUGAUCGGCCACAAUGGGACUGAGACACGGCCCAAACUCCUACGGGAGGCAGCAAUAGGGGAUCUUCGGCAAUGGACGAAAGUCUGAACGAGCAACGCCGCGUGAGGGAAGAAGGUUUUCGGAUCGUAAAAAUCUGUUGGUAGAGAAGAACGUUGGUGGGAGUGGAAAGCUCAUCAAGUGACGGUAACUACCCAGAAAGGGACGGCUAACUACGUG